GUAAAAAUCUGAUCACCUGCUGCUAGGAGUGAUCUGCUAAUUCCCUUCUGAUUAAAAAUGUUCAUCUUCUCAGGAACCAUGGAAGUUUGCAAUCGAGGUUCUUAAAAGUUACAAAGGCUUCUGGAGGAAAAUACUUAUGAUAUUUAAGAGAGCAGAUGUUUACAAUUCUUCAAUAGGAGAUGAAGUAAAAGCACCAGAAAUGCAAACCACCUUGUCAGUCUCUAGUGGAAAGAAUGCAAUUGCCUGCCAAGGAUAAGGAUAAAUUUAACACUGAGUCACAGAACAUGAAUAACUGGUGUUUCAGCUGCCCAGAAUAAUACAGGAUUUGAGCUCUCCUAACUCUUACUCUCCAAACUCCAAGGGGAAAAUAUUAUUGCAUGCUGAGAGUCAUUAUGGUGAUUCCAGCCAAUUUAUGAAAAAAAA